AGUGGCGAACCGGUGAGUAACGCGUGGGUAACCUGCCCUUAAGAUUGGGACAACAGCUGGAAACGGCUGCUAAUACCGAAUGGAUUUACCGGAAGGCAUCUUCUGGUAAGGAAAGCUGGCCUCUUUACAAUGCUAGCGCUUAAGGAUGGACCCGCGUCUGAUUAGCUAGUUGGUAGGGUAACGGCCUACCAAGGCGACGAUCAGUAGCCGGCCUGAGAGGGUAAUCGGCCACACUGGGACUGAGACACGGCCCAGACUCCUACGGGAGGCAGCAGUGGGGAAUCUUCCGCAAUGGACGAAAGUCUGACGGAGCAACGCCGCGUGUAUGAAGAAGGCCUUCGGGUUGUAAAAUACUGUUGUUAGGGAAGAACGGCAUCUGUGUAAAUAAUGCAGGUGAUUGACGGUACCUAACGAGGAAGCCCCGGCUAACUACGUGCCAGCAGCCGCGGUAAUACGUAGGGGGCGAGCGUUGUCCGGAAUUAUUGGGCGUAAAGGGCGCGUAGGCGGCCGUUUAAGUCUGAUGUGAAAGUGCGGGGCUUAACCCCGUAAAGCAUUGGAAACUGGAUGGCUUGAGGACAGGAGAGGAAAGUGGAAUUCCACGUGUAGCGGUGAAAUGCGUAGAUAUGUGGAGGAACACCAGUGGCGAAGGCGACUUUCUGGACUGUAACUGACGCUGAGGCGCGAAAGCGUGG
rnacentral:rRNA from 1 species